rnacentral:lncRNA from 1 species
AAGUCACAACAGCUUUUGAAUUGUGGUGUCAGAGCCCCAAAAAGAAUACAGAAGAGAAGAUCUGUGAGGACUGAUUGGAUAGAAGAAUGGUCUUCGUUUAUCCUUUAGUGGUAGAACAGCUUCCUGCAGUAGCUGUAGGACUACCUUUUUAAAAGUGCUGCAUAUGGCACCUUUUGGGAUAGAGAGGUUUAGCCACCAUCAGACACAGACAACAGUUUUCCCUUUCAGGCCUGGCCUGGUAUCAUUUUGGUUAAUCCAGACGUCUGAAAGCUGCUCUAGUAGUCUGAGCAGGUAAAAAGCUUUACUGUGUUCUUUGAGCUAGAGGUGUGUGUGUACAACUGAGACAAAUUACACAGGAGAGCUCAAAAGGAUGAGGGAGGAAGGCUGAGCUCUGCCACAUGACUGACUAAACCUUUCAUUUCUCAGUAGGAUUCCUGCUGAAGUUUUCUCUUGGACAAGGUACCAUGAACACACAUUAUGAGCUUAACAUGAGCCAGGGAUCGUUUCCAUCCCAUACUGUGGAUGGCACCAUCCUGUUAUGAGAGGAGCCAACACUAGAUAAAAAGCAGAGAUUAGAGGAAAGCAUUACAAGUCAACUACUAAAAACUGGAUGUUUGGAGGUGCUGCCACCUCAGCCUCAGGAGGGUUGCCAUCCAUGCUGAGGUGGUCCUCAAGCUGAUCAGCAUCCAGAAGAUUCAGCAGAGCUGGACUGUGGGAAAACUGUGGGAAGGCUUCUUGAGGAACAAGGUGAUAAUGCUGUUAUUUAGAAGCUUUGCAGCUGAACCUAAGAAAUAUAUUUAUGCUACAACAGUGAAUGGAGCAACAGCAAAUUGUCUAAGAAGUCCAAAAGCUCCUGUUCAAGAAUGCAACAGUUGA